UACGUAGGGUGCAAGCGUUGUCCGGAAUUAUUGGGCGUAAAGAGCUCGUAGGCGGUUUGUCGCGUCGAAUGUGAAAACCCGGGGCUCAACCCCGGGCCUGCAUUCGAUACGGGCAGACUAGAGUUCGGUAGGGGAGUCUGGAAUUCCUGGUGUAGCGGUGAAAUGCGCAGAUAUCUGGAGGAACACCGGUGGCGAAGGCGGCGUCCUGGACCAACACUCGACACUGAUGAGCGAAAGCCAGGGGAGCAAACGGG
rnacentral:rRNA from 1 species